AAAGAUGGUAAAGUGUCCAGAGAUUGAAGAUUCUGCAAGUGGAUUGCAGAUAGAAGGACAUGGCUGCCAAAAAAGCUAUUUGCAAAAAGAUGAUGAAAAGGAAGAGAAGAAAGUAGUGGAAUGUGCUCCAGAGACAGGAGAUGAAGAAGUUUAUGCAGUGUACAGAGGCUGAUGAUAGUGCAAACAGAUUGCAGAUAGAAG